GAUGAACGCUGGCGGCGUGCCUAAUACAUGCAAGUCGAGCGAACAGACGAGGAGCUUGCUCCUUCGACGUUAGCGGCGGACGGGUGAGUAACACGUAGGUAACCUACCUAUAAGACUGGGAUAACUUCGGGAAACCGGAGCUAAUACCGGAUAAUAUUUCUAACCGCAUGGUUCGAUAGUGAAAGAUGGCUUUGCUAUCACUUAUAGAUGGACCUGCGCCGUAUUAGCUAGUUGGUAAGGUAACGGCUUACCAAGGCAACGAUACGUAGCCGACCUGGGAGAGUGAUCGGCCACACGGGAGCGGAGACGCGGACAAGACUCCUAAGGGAGGCAGCAGAAGGGAAUGUGCCGCAGUAGGCGAGAGCCUGACGCAGCAGCGCGGCGUGUGUUAUGAAGGUGUUGGGAGCGUAAUACUGUCUUAUGAGUGAAAAACAACUGUGUAAGUAGCUGAGCACGUAGUGACGGUACCUGAUCAGAAAGCCACGGCUAACUACGUG
rnacentral:rRNA from 1 species